UACGGAGGGGGCUAGCGUUGUUCGGAAUUACUGGGCGUAAAGCGCGCGUAGGCGGACCUGCAAGUCGGGGGUGAAAUCCCCGGGCUCAACCUGGGAACUGCAUUUGUGACUGCAUCGCUGGAGUGCGGCAGAGGGGGAUGGAAUUCCGCGUGUAGCAGUGAAAUGCGUAGAUAUGCGGAGGAACACCGAUGGCGAAGGCAUCCCCUGGGCCUGCACUGACGCUCAUGCACGAAAGCGUGGGGAGCAAACAGG
rnacentral:rRNA from 1 species